rnacentral:rRNA from 1 species
CUCUUUAGCUUGGCAUUUGAAUCGGCUUUGCUGUUGCGAAGUAGAGUGGCGGCUUCGGCUGCCGAGGGUCGAUCCAUUUGGGAAAUGUUGUGUACUUCGGUAUGCAUCUCAAUUGGACCUGAUAUCAGGCAAGAUUACCCGCUGAACUUAAGCAUAUUAAUAAGCGGAGGAAAAGAAACUAACAAGGAUUCCCCUAGUAACGGCGAGUGAAGCGGGAAGAGCUCAAGCUUAAAAUCUCCGUGCAAGUUUUGCGCGGCGAAUUGUAGUCUAUAGAGGCGUGAUCAGUGUGGGCGCUUGGGGCAAGUUCCUUGGAAGAGGACAGCAUGGAGGGUGAUACUCCCGUUCAUCCCUGAGUUGCUCGUGCGUACGAUCCGUUUUCUUUGAGUCGCGUUGUUUGGGAAUGCAGCGCAAAGUAGGUGGUAAAUUCCAUCUAAAGCUAAAUAUUGGUGCGAGACCGAUAGCGAACAAGUACCGUGAGGGAAAGAUGAAAAGAACUUUGAAAAGAGAGUUAAAGAGUACCUGAAACUGCUGAAAGAGAACCGAAUCGUUUCCAGUGUCUAUAAUCCGUGGUAUAUUUCAUUGGCGAGUGUGUGCGUGCGUGUGCUGUGGCAGCGGCUUUUUUGGCUGCGCUCGGCGUGUGUGCUGUGUGUGCUUGCUGGUGCCCUGUGCUGCGGUGGGACGUCAAGGUCAGUUCGUAUGCUGCGGGAAAUGGCCGCCGAGGAGGUAGGGCUUACGCUUGCGUUUGUCUGUUAUAUCUUGGUGGACGAGUAGUCGCGGUUGGGACUGAGGUGCCUACAACGUGUUUUUGAGUGGGCCUGUGUCUCUGUGUGCGCCGUGUGCGGAUAGCUUGCUAUGCGUGUGUGGUUGUGUGUGGAUUGAUGUGGGUUUUAACUUGUUGCCGUUCGGGACGUUGACGAAAUGGAGCGAUUUGACCCGUCUUGAAACACGGACCAAGGAGUCUAACAUGUGUGCAAGUGUUAGGGUGUGGAAACCCCAGCGCGAAAUGAAAGUGAAGGGCAGCGUAAGUUGUCUGAGGUAGGAAAUGCUGCGGGCUUCGGUCUGCGGUGUGGCACUAUCGACCGAUCAUGAACCUUCGUGGUGAAAGAUUUGAGUUUGAGCACAUAUGUUGGUACCCGAAAGAUGGUGAACUAUGCCUGAGUAGGGUGAAGCCAGGGGAAACUCUGGUGGAAGCUCGUAGCGAUUCUGACGUGCAAAUCGAUCGUCAAACUUGGGUAUAGGGGCGAAAGACUAAUCGAACCAUCUAGUAGCUGGUUCCCUCCGAAAUUUCCCUCAGGAUAGCAGCAACUUAUUUACGAUAGUUUUAUGAGG